GAAACCAACAGGGAUUGCCUUAGUAACGGCGAGUGAAGCGGCAAAAGCUCAAAUUUGAAAUCGGAUAGUCUUGCGACCUCCGAGUUGUAAUUUGUAGGGGCGACUUUGGGUAUACAGCCAGGUCUAUGUUCCUUGGAACAGGACGUCAUGGAGGGUGAGAAUCCCGUAAAUGGCUUGGCCAGUGCCUAUGUAUAGCGCUUUCAACGAGUCGAGUUGUUUGGGAAUGCAGCUCUAAGCGGGUGGUAAAUUCCAUCUAAAGCUAAAUAUUGGCGAGAGACCGAUAGCGUACAAGUAGAGUGAUCGAAAGGUGAAAAGCACUCCGGAAGGAGAGUUAAACAGCACGUGAAAUUGUUGAAAGGGAAGCGCUUGAGACCAGACUCAGGUAAAGUUGAUCAACCUCCAUUCUUGGUGGUGCACUCUUCUUUGCCCGGGCCAGCAACAGUUUUGGCGGUGGUAUAAAGGUUUAGGGAAUGUGGCUCUCAAUUUGGGAGUGUUAUAGCCCUAUUCGUAAUGCCGCCUGCUGAGACUGAGGACCGCGCUCCGGCUAGGUUGUUGGCGUAAUGGUCUUAAGCGACCCGUCUUGAAACACGGACCAAGGAGUCUAACAUCUAUGCGAGUGUUUGGGUGGAAAACCCUUGCGCGUAAUGAAAGUGAACGGAGGUGGGAUCCCGUAAAAGGGCGCACCAUCGACCGAUCCUGACGUCUUCUGAUGGAUUUGAGUAGGAGCAUAGCUGUUGGGACCCGAAAGAUGGUGAACUAUGCCUGUAUAGGGUGAAGCCAGAGGAAACUCUGGUGGAGGCUCGCAGCGGUUCUGACGUGCAAAUCGAUCGUCAAAUAUGGGUAUAGGGGCGAAAGACUAAUCGAACCAUCUAGUAGCUGGUUCCUGCCGAAGUUUCCCUCAGGAUAGCA
rnacentral:rRNA from 1 species